GACGAACGCUGGCGGCGUGCUUAACACAUGCAAGUCGAACGAAGAGCGAUGGAAGCUUGCUUCUAUCAAUCUUAGUGGCGAACGGGUGAGUAACGCGUAAUCAACCUGCUCUUCAGAGGGGGACAACAGUUGGAAACGACUGCUAAUACCGCAUACGAUCUAAUCUCGGCAUCGAGGAUAGAUGAAAGGUGGCCUCUACAUGUAAGCUAUCACUGAAGGAGGGGAUUGCGUCUGAUUAGCUAGUUGGAGGGGUAACGGCCCACCAAGGCGAUGAUCAGUAGCCGGUCUGAGAGGAUGAACGGCCACAUUGGGACUGAGACACGGCCCAGACUCCUACGGGAGGCGGCAGUGGGGAAUCUUCCGCAAUGGACGAAAGUCUGACGGAGCAACGCCGCGUGAGUGAUGACGGCCUUCGGGUUGUAAAGCUCUGUUAAUCGGGACGAAAGGCCUUCUUGCGAAUAGUGAGAAGGAUUGACGGUACCGGAAUAGAAAGCCACGGCUAACUACGU
rnacentral:rRNA from 1 species